rnacentral:rRNA from 1 species
CAUGACCUCAGAUCAAGCAAGACCACCCGCU